rnacentral:rRNA from 1 species
AACGUAGGUGGCGAGCGUUAUCCGGAAUUACUGGGCGUAAAGCGUGUGCAGGCGGGCUGACAAGUGGUGUAUGAAGUCUCCCGGCUCAACCGGGAAGGGUUAUGCCAGACUGUCAGUCUUGAGUGCGAGAGAGGAGAGUGGAAUUCCUGGUGUAGCGGUGAAAUGCGCAGAUAUCAGGAGGAACACCGGUGGCGAAGGCGGAUCUCUGGGCCUUACCUGACGCUCAGGCGCGAAAGCUAGGGGAGCGAACAGG